UUAUUUUAUUUUGGGUCCAAUAACCGGUCCCUCUCGAACAAACACGAUUAUUAUCAAAGCAAGCAAUGAUUUUUAAAAAACAACAUGAUUAGUACGUUACUGAUAUUAUACUCAUCUUAAAUAUGUACAGUUAUUAACGAAAUAUGUUAUACUUUUUCCAAAAUAACGGUAACUCAGUUGUAUUUUUGAUAAACGCAGUUGUUUCCCUAUAAAAUUUCGCUGUCCCUCUAAUCAACUUACUUCAAAUACAUUGAAAUUACUUAGAAAACUCUUCAUGGCGCUACUAAAUUUGAAUGUUUAUGCUAAUUAUAAGUUAUCUGAGCUUUACUUAAACAAUAAUAAGUAUAAUUUUCUUUGACAGUUUUUAAAUUACGUCAAAUUAUUUGUUAUGUCCCCGCGGCAAAGUAAAAAAUUAUGAACACUAUGUUACCAUUAGAAAUCGAGUCGUUAAAUUGAAAUUUUUGCGCCUUUGCUUCGAUGUUGGUUUGACAAAUCAUUAAAUAUUAUCAGGAAGCAGGGGGAAGGCCGUAGCCGUGAAACCGGCCAAGUCAGUCGCCUGAGAGUUGUCAGGAGAGGUGCGUGUGUUUAUUGUGAGACUGCUGAGUUACCAUUGAAAAAAGGUUACUAUUUACAACAUAAUGGCUUUAACACCGGCUGAAAAACAACGACGCUACAGGGAGAAAUUGAAACAGGACCCGAUCAAAAAUGCUGAUAGCAAAAAAAAA
rnacentral:lncRNA from 1 species